rnacentral:lncRNA from 1 species
GGUUCUGUUUGCAGGAUUCUGUUGAGGUGAUGAUGAGGGAGCUCAAUUGAGAGUUUGGUUGGGUUUUCGACAGUGAUGAUUUGAGGCUCUUGUUGUAGUUAGUCAUAACUAAUAUUAAUUGAAGGCUUAUGAAUACUACUUCUUAGAUGUUAGUGAGUUAGACAUAUUGGAACUGCUAGUAAUUGGAACCCUGUUAUGAAUGUCGGCACCGUUAUUUUGUGGCUGAAGGCUAGUUAUCGAUUAGAGAACUUUACUGUUAGGUUCAAUUUCUGUUAUGCCAAUUAGCUACUUUUAGGUGAAUUGGUUAGGGUGGUUAAAAUCUGUUUUGGAUUAGUUAGGCAGUUCUGAAAAAAAGUUAACAUUGAGAUUAAUUGUGUACUGGCGUGCAAUGUCGAACUUGGUGUUAAGCCUGCUUGUGCCAGCAUCUUGCCUAGAAUUAUUAUCAUAUGAAAUUUCUACAUUGGAGUUUAGGAAGAGUACCCAUCAUUUGAUUUCCGUCAGUGAUUAAUUUUGAUUUGCAAAUGUUGUUAUCCAAAACCAAAUUUUUUCUCGAAAGUUUCAGGAUUGCUGUAUUUGUUUGAUGAUAUGGUUAUGAUAUGUAUGAUCAUGCAUUGAUUUUGUUUUGCUUGUGACAUUUGCUUAUAACAACAUGUAUGUGAAUGAUCUUGUAGGGUGGAUUGCACACAUGAAGAUGGGUUGAAGGAUGGAAUUGGAAGGUGGUUUGGAUUCAUGGGAUCUAUUGAAGAUGGGACUGUUUUGGAAUUGGAGUCAUUUGGGGAGAAAUAAUUUGGAUGUAAUUAUGACUUGUUGCAUGUAGAAUUGGAUUUGUAUUUGAAUGUAAUAGGAAUGAUUGUGUAUGAUAUGUUGUAAUUGAAAUGUGAAUAAUGGUUAAAUGUAACUUGGAACCCCAAAUGGUUUAAAUGGGAAUUAGAUGUGAUUUUUGUAAUCGAAGAUUGUAUGAAGUUUUUUGUAUGAAAGGAUGGAAUCUUGAUACUGAAAGUGCAAUGGUUUAUAAUUGAGUUGAAAUGGUUUCUAUAUGGG